rnacentral:rRNA from 1 species
GUGAGAUUGGGAUCUCUUGGUGUCACUUUUUCGUACGGUUAGUCAACAUCGGGUUUUAAUUCAUUAUAAAAAUACGGUUGAAGGAAUGUAACUUUGAUUUCGAUCGAGGUAUUAUAGCCUUUGACAGAUGUAAUGAUCAAGACCGAGGAUUGCAACGGAUAUCCUUCAGGGCUAUUCGUCUGAUCUCUGAUACGUUGCCUUGAUGUUGAAAGCUUUGCUUAUGAUUGUUAGGGUAUUACGGUCAAAAGGUUAGAACGAAUUACAUUCGUUAAGGAUGUUGACGUAAUGGCUUUAAACGAC